UUCACACUUGCUGAUGUUGCAGAGGCUGCUGACAAUAACAUUAAACCAGAUCAAACCAAUGUAUUUUCAAUGGAAGGCAGCAACAUCUCACUGUCCUGCACAUAUACUGGAUCAGGUGACAGUCUCCACUGGUAUCGACAAAAACCUGGAUCAAGACCCGAGUUUCUGCUGCUGAUUGAUGAAAGCAGUGAAUAUGUCACAAAGGCUCAAUCACCUCAUCCAGGAUUGUCCAUACAACUUAAAAAAGAGCAAGAUAAAACGAAUAAGAAAGUGGAUCUGAUCAUCUCCUCUGCUGCUGUAUCAGACUCUGCUCUAUACUACUGUGUCUUACAGAAGACACCUAGUGAGCAGCAUGAAAACCAAGUUGAACAGAUUCUUGAUGAGCCUCUCGAACAGCUGGCCCUGCCUGAUGAUGAACUUAAUGCCGAAGAGGAGUUAGGACAGGAAGUUGAGGAUGAAUGGGAUGAACUACAGCAAGAGGACAUUAUCGAAUGG